GACGAACGCUGGCGGCGUGCUUAACACAUGCAAGUCGUACGGUAAGGCCCUUUCGGGGGUACACGAGUGGCGAACGGGUGAGUAACACGUGAGUAACCUGCCCACAACUUUGGGAUAACGCUAGGAAACUGGUGCUAAUACUGGAUAUGUGCUCCUGCUGCAUGGUGGGGGUUGGAAAGCUCCGGCGGUUGUGGAUGGACUCGCGGCCUAUCAGCUUGUUGGUGGGGUAGUGGCCUACCAAGGCGGCGACGGGUAGCCGGCCUGAGAGGGUGACCGGCCACAGUGGGACUGAGAUACGGCCCAGACUCCGACGGGAGGCAGCAGUGGGGAAUAUUGCUCAAGGGGCGCAAGCCUGAUGCAGCAACGCCGCGGGCGGGAGGACGGCCUUCGGGUUGGAAACCGCUUUCAGCAGGGACGAAGCUUUUUGUGACGGUACCUGCAGAAGAAGCACCGGCUAACUACGUG
rnacentral:rRNA from 1 species